CAUCGUUUUUUGUUUAAUUAUUUAAAAUAUAGCCUGCCCUAUGAAAAUUUAAAUGGCUGCGGUAUUUUGACCGUACAAAGGUAGCAUAAUAAUUAGUUUCUUAAUUAGGAACUGGAAUGAAUGGCUGGACGAGAAAAUUUCUGUCUCUAUUUAAUUGAUUAUAAUUUAAUUUUUAAGUUAAAAAGCUUAAAUUUUUUUAAAAGACGAGAAGACCCUAUAGAGUUUUAUAAUAAUUAAAUUAUAUUAAUUUAAGAAUUUAAUUUUUUUAGUUUUAUGAUUAUUUUAUUGGGGUGAUAAAAAGAUUUAAUUAACUCUUUUUUAUUUUUAUUAUUAAUUUAUAUAUUAAUGAUCCUUUUUUUAAGAUUAUAAGAAUAAAUUACCUUAGGGAUAACAGCGUAAUCUUUUUGGAGAGUUCUUAUCGAUAAAAGGGAUUGCGACCUCGAUGUUGGAUUAAAAUUAAUUAUUGGUGUAGGAGCUAAUAAAUUAAGUCUGUUCGACUUUUAAAAUUUUACAUGAUCUGAGU
rnacentral:rRNA from 1 species